CUCUGUUUUUAUUCCCAAGGUUCAGAAGUAAAUUACCACAAAAAUGCAGAUGGAACCUGUAAUACUGGCCUCCACAUCAUUCAUCUGGUGGUUUGGGAGCCGCAGAUCAGCAUGUGAAAGACAGCAGUUAAAAUACAGGACCUGUUCCUAUCUCCUCUGCUCUGUGCUGGUGUAAAUCAAGACUAAGACUCGUGAACCCAAUGGAGUGUAAAAUUGGUACCCAUCGCCUGUCCUGGUGGCCGUGUGCCUCAGCUGAGAUGCUGCUCGGAGGACGCAGAGCGCUGGAGCAGAGCUGCCCUGCCCACCUGGAGCCUACACGUGGGAAUGCAAAUGAGCAUUUAGUCAUCUAAUGCUAUAACGGUAAGUAGUUUCUUGCUAGUGUGCUAGUUCAAAUGGAUUGGAGUUGAAACCAGAGACGUUUGUCAGUAGAACACCACAGUGCACCGUAUUACAAGAUUUGACAGAAAUGUUUUCUUUUCUGCUCAGUUGCAAGGAGUCAGGGCACGCAGGCAGUAGCACUUAGCUCGUCCUGG
rnacentral:lncRNA from 1 species